UAGAAUGACUGAAGUUCUACUUUAAAAUGACCUGCUGUUUUAUAAACCACGAGUACACUGAUGCAUAUUACAUUAGUGUCUAAAAAUGAGUCCCCUGAAUGGAGCAGUAGCAGAUAGCCUACAUUCAUGUUUUUGAAUACACAAGUUUCUGUUUCAGUGUAUGAGUAUACCAGUGUGAAAUUAGAGCCAUCCAAAACAUUGCAGGGGAAGCUUAUAGACGAGCAGAAGUGUUAUAUCUUUGCUAUGAAUUCAACACUGUGAACUGUUGGGCACAGAGAUGGUUUUGGCUCAGUCAAUGUUAAAAUAGCUGUAGCCCACUUCGCAGGAAAUCUUGCAAAGAAUUACUUGGGCAGUCCUUAGAGACCAAAUGUUUUCAUUUUGAUACAAAAAAGGUUCUUCUCAGGCUGAGGUUUGAAACGUUCUGUGGCUUCUGGGAACAAUGCACUCCUCAUCGUUGUAAUGGCGUUUUUAUGAAUAUUUUUUAGUCUGAAAUCCAGCUGUGCCAAAGAACUGAGAAAAGGUAUAAUUGGAUCACGGCAGCUAGAAACUUCUGUAAUUAGUAUGACAACAUAAAAAAUGUGACCUGAAACUACAGGUGCUCGUCAGUAACUAACAGGUCUGUAACAGCUCUAAUGACUGGCUCGUUACAGCUCAUCUCUCCAUCCCCUCUCUGGUCUUCACAGCAGUAUGCAAUUUUUUUCCAGAAUAUUAAGAGUUUAAUUUUGUCAUAUAUACAGUUACGCAUGUUACUCUUUCAUUGACUAUAGCUGCCUUUGUCUUUCUUUGUUCCCCCUACCAGUACACUGUAUUGCAGUGUGUGUUUCAGUGAGUUGCUUCAAAGUAUGACUGAAAUGCAUCUUGUUCCAGCAGAGGUUUUGACAAGCUGCUGCUUGACUCAGUACUUUUGUCACACUUGUUUAAGUAAGAUUAGUUGGAAAACGCUUUGCUUUUCUUUGCUUUGUUCCACCAGAACAGGACACGGAUCCUUCCUGUCUGUGAGCUUUGAAGGGCGAUGGGUAGGGAGACCUCAGAGUCAAAGACUGCAGAGAUGGGUUCUGGGGUCUGUGUGCAGGCUUAGUGCUUGUGUGGGACGGGCUCUGAUAGGUAGAGUGCUGUGGAGGCCGAAUAGCCAGCACUGGAGGAGCUCGUGUUCUCACAGAGUCUUUUGAAGACCAACUUCUGAAUAUAAGCCAUGUUGAUUUGAGCAGUGUAGAUUUGAUGCUGCUGGGCUUCGCAGAGCUACAACCCCAGUAUUUUCUCUGCAGACAAAAAUUCUUACUUCUCUGUUCUGUGCGUUUCAUUAUACUUCCUACUAAGUAAUGUUUGCAUAAUGCUUGACAAGCUUGAAAAAAAUUAACAUUUGAUAAUUGUAGAUGACUUAAAAACUUCAUCACAUCAAUACAUGCCAUGUCAGUGCUUCAGAAGAGCUCUUUGGUUCCUCUGCAGAACAGCAUUCAGGCGCUGCCAGAUGCAGGAGGUGAGCGGUGCUCAUAGUGCCCUGUCAGGGCUGAGGCUCCAUCACACUGGAACCUGGCAGAUCUGGCACUUCCUGCUGAAAGCACAGUGUGCGAUCUGGUGAUGGUAUGUUCAUUUCUGAGAGGCAAUCUGAGAGCAGAUGAAAUGAUCAGAAAGGAGAGAUACAUUUAGGUAAGGUGUGGUGUGAAAAGCAGUCCUUGGUUGUUGUUGGGAACUUGAGCCUGAGAUUCAGCAGACCCUGGUUUGAAUUUUUCUGAUUCUAAAUCCUUGAAUACCUUGUAAAUACUGGAAACCUCUUGCCAUUUCUCUAAAAUGUCCUCACAUCUUCCUCGCAGCAUGCACCCGUUCUUCAGUUCUUUCCCUUUCCCACCCAGUUGAUUAUUCUGGCAGAGCAAUGCAUGAUCCCGUAGGUGCUCAUUUUCUUGGUGCAGGAGUGGCUUGUUAGCACAUGAGGGAUGAUAAAAGGAAUCCUUACGCGUUUUUGAUUCCCCAGAAAAGAGGAAGAAAUGUCUUGAAAAUGCUGGAAACCCAGCAUGCUGUCUCAUCUAAAAAUACUGAGUUGAAUACUUCUGUAUAUCUUGUGAGUCGUUCUGUGGUUCGUGUGGUACUCCCAGUUGUGCCAGCUGGUUGAUUGAAAUGCUUCUCCGUCUCUUUCUGUUGCUUCUUGGACUGAGCUGACCUUUGAUCCUGCUGAGUUGCUGUCUUCCAGUGAUGCUUUCCUUCCUCAGGGUUUAUACAUUCCAUGUUGGUAUUUUUCUCCCCAAUCCUUUGCUGUGACCGACUUGAUGUCACUUCUUUGUUCUCCUUAUUUUGCAUGGCUGUAGCUUCCCUUUGGUCUCGCAACUCUCCAUUUGUUUGCUCUUCAGAAAUUUCUAUUUUUCUAAUUAUUCUGUGAGGCCAUGGACACAGCCAUGCUUCACAGAGCUGGGCCCUGGUUACACUGCAGCUGCUGGCUUUGGGGAGAAAACCUGCAUAGGCAGAGCAGUUCCCUUAAUGCAGUCGGUCGUUCCAGUGCCUGGGAUUGCACCAGGUGCAGUUUUGCACAGUAGCGAUCUGUUAAUUCCACCUUACUGUUCCAAUGCCUUGAAUAAAAAGCCAGAAAUAACAAUGGAAAACUUCAUUCUUCCUGGCUAUGAUGCAUUCUUCUGCACUACUGAAAACUAUUUCUAAAUUCAGGCUUUUCAUGAAAAAACAAACAAACAAACAAACCCAAAGCUGUAAGAGAAUGCCACGAGUUUAAAAAAUAACAAAAUAAUAAAAUCUGUUAUUAUCAAGAGACUUAUGAUGCACCUUCUACUUUGAUCUUAGCAUCCAAGACACGCAGCUUGUUCUGAAGAUGCUUUUCUGCCUUAAAUCUGCAAAUGCAAAAAUGCUGAAUAUUCAGAAUUUUGGCUUGAAGCCCUCUGAACUGCUGAUAGCAGCCACCUGUGAGCUGAAAACCCGGGGAAGGGCUUGAAGUCAGGCCUUCUCCCCCCUCGGCUUUAACCUCAAUAGCACGUGAGAAACCUUUGACUAUCAAAUCUUCCUGUAUUCCUAGCAGUGUUUAGAACUCACAGAUAUUCUAUCUCAUAGUUUGGACAUCUUAGAUGCAAGUUUAUAGACUGAAGAAUUUUUGAUGUGUUCUGUGUUUUUAAAAAGUUUUGCUGGUUUUGGUACGUGUUUACGUUUGCAGGCUCUUUGAAUAGGCAUGCCACAAACGUGGAGGGAACAAACCCGUCGGUUUUGGGCAGGCCGGUCGACACAUCCAGAAAUGCUGAAAUGAACGUUGUUGAUGUCACUGUAGCUCCGUGUUCCGUUUGCUCUCAUGUGCAGCAUACAUCAGUGCUCCAGAAGAAGGUGGGGAUUAAGGAAAAAACUGUGGUCAUUUCUUAAACGUUCUUUUGUAGCUAAACUUAAUUCGUAGGCUUGUUUCUGAGGGUAGUUUGGUAUUUGGGGAGAACUGUGUUAAGCCAUUUUUACAGCUGACUUGAUGACAUUUCUCUAAGUAUAAUAUGCUGUUAUUCCAGCAUGGCAAAGGUCUGCAUAAUUCAUGUGUGCUCAACUUAAUCACUGGUUUUCUUCUUGUAACAAUAAAUGGCAUUGUACCAAAAGCAAUAUAUCCUGUGUGUAGUUAGUAGUGGAAGUAAUUAUUACUGUGCAGCUUUUAUUUCCAUUGUCUUUCCUACGGUUGCUGCUAGCAUGGAUUUUGUGCAUUGACAGUUGUUCCAGGCUAUUAAAGAUGUAUUUUGGGGGAAAAAGUCCUGCAUAAUACUUGUUUGCUUUCUGGGAGCUGCUGCAGUACUUUGAAGCAGAAAAGAGUUGCAUCUUAUGCUGCAAUAAGCUUGUUUUCUUCUGACUCUUAUCACCAGAACACAUCUAGAUCUAGAGAGUUUCUCCGGAAUUGCUCCUCCACAUUUUUCCUCUUGAGAAAGGCCCAGGCUCAACACCAGCAUCGUUAGAGCCAAGGAUUAUAAGAGAGCAGAAGGGCUUUUUUCUCUGCUUGAUUUUGGGAUUCUGCUAAGCUACCACAGCCUUAUUAGAUCAUGGCGCUGUAAAAAGACUUGGGGAAUGCUGCAACUGGUUUUGUUCACCAACUCCUUAACUCAAGACCAGAUAAGAACGCACAGGCAAUAUGCAAUGCAUGGGAACUCUCUAGUCUUAAAUUCUGUCCUUCCUGACCCCCUGAUAGUGUUUCUGCACUGCAAGUAAAUCUGCCCUGGAUAACUUUCCUUUAAAAGAGGGAAGCUUUGUUUUUCCUCAGAGGGACAAGGAGUUAAUACAGUUAUCUUCCCACCACUUGCAUUUGACUGCUAGUGUGUAGUGUUCAUCGUACCAAGAUGUCACUGUUAGAAAAAUUUUAAUACUGUAGAACUAACGGGGUGAAGAACUUGCUCUUCUCAACUUGUAUAUUCCUCCUUGCUUUUGAAGUGUGUAGAACGAUACCUACUUUAAUUAUAACUGAAUAGCUUUUCUGCAUUCUCUGUGCACAUUUUUCUCAGCUGCCUCCUAUUCUAGAUGUGACUUAUUUUACUGCUAAUGGUGUUAUAAAAAACUGUAGUACUACAGGUGUCAUAUGGUA
ensembl:lncRNA